rnacentral:rRNA from 1 species
AUUGAACGCUGGCGGAAUGCUUUACACAUGCAAGUCGAACGAUAUAGUGGCAGACGGGUGAGUAACGCGUGGGAACGUACCUUUCACUACGGAAUAGCUCCGAGAAAUUGGUGGUAAUACCGUAUACGCCCUCAGGGGGAAAGAUUUAUCGGUGAAAGAUCGGCCCGCGUUGGAUUAGCUAGUUGGUGAGGUAAUGGCUCACAAAGGCGACGAUCCAUAGCUGGUCUGAGAGGAUGAUCAGCCACACUGGGACUGAGACACGGCCCAGACUCCUACGGGAGGCAGCAGUGGGGAAUCUUGCACAAUGGGCGAAAGCCUGAUGCAGCCAUGCCGCGUGAAUGAUGAAGGCCUUAGUGUUGUAAAAUUCUUUCGUCAGGGAUGAUAAUGACCGUACCUGAAGAAGAAGCCCCGGCUAACUUCGUGCCAGCCGCCGCAGUAA